rnacentral:tRNA from 2 species
CGGGCUGUGGCGCAGUUGGUAGCGCGCAAGGCUGGGGGUCUUGAGGUCGCGGGUUCGAGACCCGCCAGCCCGACCA